CACUACAAACUUCGUCAUUCAUGAGUAAUUACAUGGUCAACAGUAUAUUUCCAUAAAGUCUGGUGAUAUCUAAAUUAGUGAUAUGAUUGAACCAAUGUAGGUUACCAAACAAAAUGUUGAGAAAGUUAUUAGCAGUGAGGUUACAGGUUGCAAAGAAAAUGAAACUAGAUCAACUGAAGUAACACAUGCAAAAAGAAGCCAAAAACCUAGUCAUACCUCAGAAGUUGGAGGUUCUCAAGCCAAGGAAACUAGAUCAACUGAAGUAACACAUGCAAAAAGAAGCCAAAAACAUAGUCAUACCUCACAAGUUGGAGGAUCUCAAGCCAAGGCCACCACAACUCAUGAAGAUAGAAGAGCCAGAAAAAUAAAGGAGAGAAAGAGUGUGAAGGAACCUAAUAGUUCUAUACCAAAGGUA